UGCCCGCUACAGCCUCACUAGUAGUUUGUCCAGCGGCAGCGGAAGUACCUUGCUACUUUGCCCGCGAGCGGCGGAGGGUGAGUAAUGUCUGGGAAACUGCCUGAUGGAGGGGGAUAACUACUGGAAACCGUCGCUAAUACCGCAUAACGUCGCAAGACCAAAGAGGGGGACCUUCGGCCCUCUUGCCAUCAGAUGUGCCCAGAUGGGAUUAGCUAGUAGGUGGGGUAACGGCUCACCUAGGCGACGAUCCCUAGCUGGUCUGAGAGGAUGACCAGCCACACUGGAACUGAGACACGGUCCAGACUCCUACGGGAGGCAGCAGUGGGGAAUAUUGCACAAUGGGCGCAAGCCUGAUGCACCCAUGCCGCGUGUAUGAAGAAGGCCUUCGGGUUGUAAAGUACUUUCCGCGGGGAGGAAGGCGGUGAGGUUAAUAACCUCAGCAAUUGACGUUACCCGCAGAAGAAGCACCGGCUAACUCCGUGCCAGCAGCCGCGGUAAUACGGAGGGUGCAAGCGUUAAUCGGAAUUACUGGGCGUAAAGCGCACGCACGCGGUCUGUCCAGUCAGAUGUGAAAUCCCCGGGCUCAACCUGGGAACUGCAUUCGACACUGGCAGGCUAGAGUCUUGUAGAGGGGGGUAGAAUUCCAGGUGUCCCGGUGAUAUGCGUAGAGAUCUGGAGGAAUACCGGUGGCGAGCGCCGCCCCCCUGGACAAAGACUGACGCUCGUGUGCGAAAGUGUGGAGAGCAAACAGGAUUAGAUACUCUGGGUACUCCACGCCGUAAACGAUGUCGACUUGGAGGUUGUGCCCGUGAGGCGUGGUUUCCGGAGCUAACGUGUUAGUCGCAUCGCCUGCGGGAGUACCGGCCGCAGGUUAAAAUUCAUAUGGACUUUGACGGGGGG
rnacentral:rRNA from 1 species